AAAACCCAAUCUUGAAUGUCCUGACCUUACAUGCCUAGCAUUAGUCCUCUCACACUUAGGAUGUUGAAAUGCUAAAUACAACAAAGUAUCAAAUUGUUUAGCUGGAUUAUCAUCCCCAUAACUUUCAGAACUCUCUAAAGGGUACCCUAAACACUGUUUAGCUUCAAUCAAAUACUCAUCAAUCCAAGUUUUAUCAGCAUUAUUAAGUCUUGAACAUGGUAAACAAGAACUCAAAAGUGGAAAUGACUUUAAAGACAAUUGUGGGCUAUUGAGAAAUCUUUCAGCUAACUUAGCAUCAUCUAAAGGGGGUUUUAGUAUGAAUCUUUUGGGGGGUACUUUUCUCUUGGG
rnacentral:misc_RNA from 1 species